rnacentral:rRNA from 1 species
AUUGAACGCUGGCGGCAGGCUUAACACAUGCAAGUCGAGCGGGGUGAUGGUGCUUGCACUAUCACUUAGCGGCGGACGGGUGAGUAAUGCUUAAGAAUCUGCCUAUUAGUGGGGGACAACAUCUCGAAAGGGAUGCUAAUACCGCAUACGUCCUACGGGAGAAAGCAGGGGAUCACUUGUGACCUUGCGCUAAUAGAUGAGCCUAAGUCGGAUUAGCUAGUUGGUGGGGUAAAGGCCUACCAAGGCGACGAUCUGUAGCGGGUCUGAGAGGAUAAUCCGCCACACUGGGACUGAGACACGGCCCAGACUCCUACGGGAGGCAGCAGUGGGGAAUAUUGGACAAUGGGGGGAACCCUGAUCCAGCCAUGCCGCGUGUGUGAAGAAGGCCUUAUGGUUGUAAAGCACUUUAAGCGAGGAGGAGGCUCCUUUGGUUAAUACCCAAGAUGAGUGGACGUUACUCGCAGAAUAAGCACCGGCUAACUCUGUGCCAGCAGCCGCGGUAA